rnacentral:rRNA from 1 species
UACGAACCGUGCGAACGUUAUUCGGAAUCACUGGGCUUAAAGCGCGUGUAGGCGGGACGGCACGUCGGGCGCUGAAAUCCCCCGGCUCAACCGGGGAACGGGCGCCGAUACGACCGCCCUGGAGGGACGUAGGGGGACCUGGAACUUCCGGUGGAGCGGUGAAAUGCGUUGAGAUCGGAAGGAACGCCCGUGGCGAAAGCGAGGUCCUGGACGUUUUCUGACGCUGAGACGCGAAAGCCAGGGGAGCGAACGGG